rnacentral:ncRNA from 2 species
ACAAUGCGCCGGCUUCGAGGUGACCUGAAGGCGUCGUGCCAACGGGUUGAAACGGGAAGCCGGUGACGCCGCCAAAAGCGGCCAGGCCGGCACUGCCCCCGCAACGGUAAGCGAGUGGACCGGCCGCCUGUCGGCUUGUCCCAUCACGGCUCACCGCCACUGUGCUCUGGCAUGGGAAGGCGCCGUGGUUGGUGUCGUGGUUCUGACACCUCUCGCAAGUCCGGAGACCGGCCACGAAGUCGACUGGUUG